rnacentral:rRNA from 1 species
UAGCCGUAAACGAUGCUCGCUAGGCGUCGGCCACGGUGCGACCGUUGUCGGUGCCGUAGGGAAGCCGUGAAGCGAGCCACCUGGGAAGUACGGCCGCAAGGCUGAAACUUAAAGGAAUUGGCGGGGGAGCACCACAACGGGUGGAGCUUGCGGUUUAAUUGGAUUCAACGCCGGAAAUCUUACCGGGACCGACAGCAACAUGAAGGCCAGGCUGAAGACUUUGCCGGAUUAGCUGAGAGGUGGUGCAUGGCGUAGUCGUGU